UUUUUACUAUAGAAAUCUAGAAAUAUUGUUCAUCAAACAAAUGGCCUACACAACAAAAAGUUCAUCUGUCGUGAUGGUUCUGGUGUUGUUUAUUUGCAUGACAUGUGUUCCUCUUUUAGGUAUGACAUCAUUCCUCUAUUUCUUGGUAUUUUAUAAAAAUUUACCAUAAAUCAUCAUAUAGUUGCAACAUCUAUUUUGAAUUUACAUCUAUACAGCUCUUGGACCGGCAUGUCUUGGACAGUGUGACGCAAUCAACAUGGACUGCUUACAACUUUGCCAAGAAUUAGCUUUUGUUAUGGGUUCAUGCAAAGGAGGGCCUCCAUCCGAGUGUUGUUGUCAUGAUUAAAUCAAUACUAUUUUAAUAACCACUUGUAAGGAAUAUAUAUUCCACAAUCCAUCAAAUAAUCGGUUAAUAGUUAUAAAUUAUUUCCGUUGAAUACUGAUGUUACGUUGAACUACAUGAUAAUCCCAU
rnacentral:lncRNA from 1 species